rnacentral:lncRNA from 1 species
GGAGGAGUCAGGAAUCCUGGAGUUCAAAGCCAAUUCAAGGAAAUGUUGUCAUUCAGGGAUGUGGCCAUUGAUUUCUCUGCAGAGGAGUACGAAUGCCUGGACCCUGCUCAGUGGAAAUUGUACAGGGAUGUGAUGCUAGAGAAUUACAGCAACCUUGUGUUCCUGGGACUUGCUUCCGCUAAGCCAUAUCUCGUGACGUUUCUGGAGCAAACACAAGAGCCUUCAGAUGUGAAAGGAGGAACGGCUACCAUUAAGCAUCCAGUUUAUUUGACAUCAGAAGAUCUGGUGAUUUAGAAGCACGUGCUGGAAAUAACUGCAGUAUAAGAAACCCUGCAAUCUCCUGCUUCCUGACUGUGGAUGGAACAUGACUACCUGCUUUAAGCUCCUGUCGCCUUUACUUUCUUACAUGUGUGGUGGUUGGAGUAAGACCCCAAGGGCUCAGAGAUUUGAAUGCUUAGUCAUCAGGCAGGAACACUUCUUUAAAAGGAUUAAGCACUGUGGCAUCAUUGGAGUAAGUGUAUCACUGGGGUUGUAUUUAAGGUUUCAAAAGCUCAGACCCAGUGUCUCCCUCUUCUUACUGACUACGGAUCAAAAUGUAAAAUUCUCAGCUACUUCUCGAGCAUCAUGUUCCCUAGCAUGCUCCCUACAAUAAUGAUAAUGUACAAAACUUCUGAAACUGUAAACAAGCCCAAUAAAUGUUUUAUAAGAGUU